rnacentral:rRNA from 1 species
UACCGGGUCAACCAUAGCCUUGCAAGAUGCUCACCAGCGGCGGACGGGUGAGUAAUGCGUAGGAAACUGCCUGGUAGUGGGGGACAACCUGUGGAAACCACUGCUAAUACCGCAUACGCCCUACGGGAGAAAGCGGGGGAUCUUCGGACCUUGCGCUAUCGGAUGAGCCUGCGUCGGAUUAGCUGGUUGGUGGGGUAAUGGCUUACCAAGGCGACGAUCCGUAGCUGGUCUGAGAGGAUGAUCAGCCACACUGGGACUGAGACACGGCCCAGACUCCUACGGGAGGCAGCAGUGGGGAAUAUUGGACAAUGGGCGAAAGCCUGAUCCAGCCAUGCCGCGUGUGUGAAGAAGGCUCUAGGGUUGUAAAGCAAUUUCAGUGGGGAAGAAAGCUUGAGGGUUAAUACCCCUCAAGAGUGACAUUACCCACAGAAGAAGCACCGGCUAACUCCGUGCCAGCAGCCGCGGUAAUACGGAGGGUGCAAGCGUUAAUCGGAAUUACUGGGCGUAAAGCGCGCGUAGGCGGCUUGUUAAGCCGGAUGUGAAAGCCCCGGGCUCAACCUGGGAACGGCAUUCGAAACUGGCAGGCUAGAGUACAGGAGAGGAUAGUAGAAUUUCCGGUGUAGCGGUGAAAUGCGUAGAGAUCUGAAGGAAAAUCAGUGGCGAAGGCGACUGCCUGGACUGAUACUGACACUGAGGUGCGAAAAGCGUGGGGAGCAAAACAGGAUUAGAUACCCUGGUAGUCACACCCGUAAACGAUGUCUACUAGCCGUUGGGUCACCUGAAGACUUAGUGACCCAGCUAACGCAAUAAUAACCCCCCUGGGGAAGUACGCCCGCAAGGUUAAAACUCAAAAUAAAUUGACGGGGGCCCCCCACAAACGGGGAACCAUGUGUUUAAUUCCAAACAAACCCAAAAAACCUUCCUACUCCUUACAUCCCGCAAACCGGAAAAAAUACCCGGGGGCCUUUCGGGACCCCAGAACAAGGGCUGCAAGGCGUUCUCAACUUGUUUUUAAAAUUUGGGUUAAUUCCCUAACCAACCCCACCCCUUUCCCUUAUUGCCCUCAUUUGNGUGGGGAACUAUGGGGAGUGCCGCGGACACACCCGAGGAAGAGGGGGGGGAGGUCUAGUCUUCUCAGCCCCUUUGCGUAUGGGUACACACGUGCUACACUAUCGUAUAUAGAGGGUGUUGAAAAGCCGAGGGGAGGAUCCUAUCCCAGAGUACCUGCUUCUCUCGAUAUGAGUGUGCACAACUAGACCCCGAAAUGUGGGUAUCGUAUUGUUAUCGAGUAUCAGAAUGGCGGGGUGUAUGCUUUCCCGGGCGUCCGUGUACACAGCCCCUGUCACACACGUGAGAGUGGUGUUCCCCCGGGUGCUAGAAUUUGUACCCGGACACCCCCACGUUA